UCGAGAACAAAAUCAAAUCAAAAGAAAGAGGUAUGCUUAGUACAUAUUGUGGGAUCACAGCUACAAAAGCAUUAGAUGGUAAAAUUAUCCUUUCCUGCUUUUUGUGUUUAGGAUGUCUCCCCGUUCAAUGUUGUGGCCUGGCACGGGAAUUAUACACCCUACAAGUACAACCUGAAGAAUUUCAUGGUUAUCAACUCAGUGGCCUUUGACCAUGCAGACCCAUCCAUUUUCACAGUAUUGACUGCUAAGUCUGUCCGCCCUGGAGUGGCCAUUGCUGAUUUUGUCAUCUUCCCACCUCGAUGGGGGGUUGCUGAUAAGACCUUCAGGCCUCCUUAUUACCAUAGGAACUGCAUGAGUGAGUUCAUGGGACUCAUCCGAGGUCACUAUGAGGCAAAGCAAGGUGGGUUCCUGCCAGGGGGAGGGAGUCUACACAGCACAAUGACCCCCCAUGGACCUGAUGCUGACUGCUUUGAGAAGGCCAGCAAGGCCAAGCUGGCACCUGAGAGGAUUGCCGAUGGCACCAUG
rnacentral:sRNA from 1 species